CGGACGGGUGAGUAAUGUCUGGGAAACUGCCCGAUGGAGGGGGAUAACUACUGGAAACGGUAGCUAAUACCGCAUAACGUCGCAAGACCAAGAGGGGGACCUUCGGGCCUCUUGCCAUCGGAUGUGCCCAGAUGGGAUUAGCUAGUAGGUGGGGUAACGGCUCACCUAGGCGACGAUCCCUAGCUGGUCUGAGAGGAUGACCUGCCACACUGGAACUGAGACACGGUCCAG
rnacentral:rRNA from 1 species